rnacentral:rRNA from 1 species
AUUGAACGCUGGCGGCAGGCCUAACACAUGCAAGUCGAGCGGAUGAAGGGAGCUUGCUCCUGGAUUCAGCGGCGGACGGGUGAGUAAUGCCUAGGAAUCUGCCUGGUAGUGGGGGAUAACGUCCGGAAACGGGCGCUAAUACCGCAUAUGUCCUGAGGGAGCAAGUGGGGGAUCUUCGGACCUCACGCUAUCAGAUGAGCCUAGGUCGGAUUAGCUAGUUGGUGGGGUAAAGGCCUACCAAGGCGACUAUCCGUAACUGGUCUGAGAGGAUGAUCAGUCACACUGGAUGUGAGACAGGGUCGAGACUCCUAGGGUGGGCCGCGGUGGGGACUAUUGGACGAUGGGCGAAUGGCUGAUCCAGCCAUGCCGCGUGUGUGAAGAAGGUCUUCGGAUUGUAAAGCACUUUAAGUUGGGAGGAAGGGCAGUAAGUUAAUACCUGGCUGUUUUGACGUUACCGACAGAAUAAGCACCGGCUAACUUCGUG